ACCACCAGCUGCUCUUCUCUGUGACAUGUCUGCUUUCUGCCUUCAUGCUGCUGACGAGGAACUGCAACAGCAAUCUUCAUCUGUUGGAGUCGUGCACCGACGCGGGUUCCUCUGAUUUUUAGGACGACGUCGAGAGUGCGCAGCAAUUAUUGGAUGUUGGAAGCACACAAGCUGCCCCUCCAGGCCGGCGUCAGGCAUUUAGAUCUGAUGCAGCCGAACAGCAGGAAGCAACGGCUCCUCCAGAGCAAUAAUUGCUCGGUCGUUUAUCUGCAAGUCAACAGCCGCAAAAAUGCCAUGAAUUAAACAUUUUUCCCCUCCUCC